UAUCUGUCUUGCCCCUCCUAAGGUCUGCUGGUGCCCCCACAGUCAAUUCCAGAUAUGCAACCCCCAUGGCCCCCACGUGGGUAAUGGGACGAGGACCAGACACCUCGCUGUCUAUGCCAGGAGUAGAGAUGGGAAUACUGGGGACGCUUCCUGGAUGCAACCAGGUGCCAGGCUCUAACUCACCGUAUCCAGACCCUGGAGUGUUUCCACGGUGCAUUCUGGAACGUCGAAAUCCCGAGAGACGUGCUUGCGAUCUGCACGCGCGUGUGUGCCGACCAGCAGCGUGUGUGGCUAGAAUGUGCUGUGCUCAAUGCGUAAGAUCGCCUGUGCUAGGUGCCAGUAUCUAGCGUGCUUUGUGUGUGUUUCCGGGCCCAGCGUGUGAGCGGGCUAGACAGGUGUGUGCAGUGGUGAGAGCCAUGAAGGGCGGUGCGCGCGGGAUUCCUGCACAGGGUCUGCUUCCACCUUGCUCCUGCUCUGGGCUCAGCUCACUUCGAAUGCAAUGGUCCAGCCCCAGGCGCGGGAACAGGCCGCGGG
rnacentral:lncRNA from 1 species